GAUGAACGCUGGCGGCGUGCCUAAUACAUGCAAGUCGAGCGAAUGGAUUAAGAGCUUGCUCUUAUGAAGUUAGCGGCGGACGGGUGAGUAACACGUGGGUAACCUGCCCAUAAGACUAGGAUAACUCCGGGAAACCGGGGCUAAUACCGGAUAACAUUUUGAACCGCAUGGUUCGAAAUUGAAAGGCGGCUUCGGCUGUCACUUAUGGAUGGACCCGGGUCGCAUUAGCUAGUUGGUGAGGUAACGGCUCACCAAGGCAACGAUGCGUAGCCGACCUGAGAGGGUGAUCGGCCACACUGGGACUGAGACACGGCCCAGACUCCUACGGGAGGCAGCAGUAGGGAAUCUUCCGCAAUGGACGAAAGUCUGACGGAGCAACGCCGCGUGAGUGAUGAAGGCUUUCGGGUCGUAAAACUCUGUUGUUAGGGAAGAACAAGUGCUAGUUGAAUAAGCUGGCACCUUGACGGUACCUAACCAGAAAGCCACGGCUAACUACGUGCCAGCCGCCGCGGUAA
rnacentral:rRNA from 1 species